GAACGAGAAAGUGGAGCAAUCCAUGAGUAAAGUGGCGAACGGGUGAGUAACACGUGACUAACCUACCCUUGAGUGGGGGAUAACCCCGGGAAACCGGGGCUAAUACCGCAUAAUCUCGCAAGAGCAAAUGCGCAAGCAGCUUAAGGAGGGGGUCGCGGCUGAUUAGCUAGUUGGUGGGGUAACGGCCCACCAAGGCGAUGAUCAGUAGCCGGCCUGAGAGGGCGCACGGCCACACUGGAACUGAAACACGGUCCAGACUCCUACGGGAGGCAGCAGUGGGGAAUUUUGCGCAAUGGGGGAAACCCUGACGCAGCAACGCCGCGUGGAGGAUGAAGUUCCUUGGAACGUAAACUCCUUUCGACCGGGACGAUGAUGACGGUACCGGUAGAAGAAGCCCCGGCUAACUUCGUG
rnacentral:rRNA from 1 species